rnacentral:lncRNA from 1 species
AAAAUAGUCAAAGAAUAGACAAGCAGCUGCAGUGAGCAUUUCUAACACUAGAUUUUAUGCCAUCCCUCUCCCCUCCAAAAAAGUGAACUGUUUAUCAAGAAGAUACUAUGUAUCUACUUUUAUGAAGUUAUUAUCUCUUUUCUUUGUUAUCCCUCAGCCCUUGAGAAAUGGAAGGAAAAGGGAAACAACACAGGCCAAAGCAUCAGAAAACCAUUUUGUUCUGGUUUUAUGCUCCUUUCUCUAGCCAGACUCUGACAGCAUCCUGGUUUUUCUGCAUUAAGGUCAUUUUAUAGUACCACAGAAUUCUAUAGUUACAUAAAUCAGCAGGGGAAGCACUGGGGAAGACAACCAUUGGU